AGAAGAAGGUGAUGAGUAUUAAAUACAAAUGUUAACUCUGUCGGUGCUGUUCAGGCUUGAGCUGGUUUCUAAAGACAGACUCAGUUGGUUAAUGAAUGUAAAAUUGUGGAAACAACUGUAUAUGCCAAUAACUCUGAUGUUUCUUGAUCUUAGAAAUCAUAGUUGUUAAUUUAUCCAUUGUGCAACUGUAGACCUUAGUGCAAUUUAGCUUACUUUUUUAGGGUAAAGAACUGUUUCAGUCAGGCAUCACAAAUAGAUAACAUAAUAGUCCUCCGAGGCCUGUGAUCUCAAGUUUCAUUGGUUGGAUAUUGCUCUAGUUCCCAGUGGCUGAAUUAACUAAAAGAAGAAAUGGUGGGCUGAUGGGGUACAAUAUAACUCUUUGAUAAAAGCAUAUGGAGCACAGUCACAUCUAUAUCUUGUAGAACAGUGGUUUAUGAAGACUGGCUGAGUACUUACCAAGAACUGAUCCACCAAUUGCUUCCAACUGGACAUCACAACCAACUCUGUCCAUCCACAACUGUUUUACAGACUCCAGAUUGAUGCUCAUUUGUUCUGCAGCAGAGAGUUUUACCCUUUUAUUGUCUUUGCAAAGUAAUGUGGGUUUCUCUUCGUACAGGUGACACAGGGCCAAAACUCGAGGGGAGCCCAUUGCUCGAGCAGCAACUUGUAUCUGAUCAACGUUUUGCUCAUUCAAGCAUGAUAUGAGUCCAGUGUACGCAAACUCCACAACCGCCUCUAAUCCGACACAAUCCACUUCUGGACCAAGAGACACUGACCAGCCACGGCCUCCAGAACUAGCAUGAGCAGGUUUACCUUCAGUCACACUGCUGUUUUCUGCUUUUCUUUCAUUCAGUUUUAUCCAGAUGAGUGAGCUGACAGCAGCCAUGACUGUGGAGUGGACACAUAUGCUCCUGCCAUCCUCUGUGUUCAGCGUAAGCUGCAUGGAAACAUUCAAGGAGCACAAGUUCCCAGAGUUCCUGUUAUAACCAAGGUGCCACAUAUACUCAGUGUAACAUAAUGUUCACACAGCAGAGUGCCCUGACAACAGAAAAGCAAGAAGACAGCCGAGAGUGACUGAUCCUGAAAACACUUUGAGGGGGGAAAAAACACACCACACACACGCAUACACACACAACAUUGACAGCUGUCGGCUCUGAGCUGCUCCUGUAAAACAUACAGUAGAAAAACAGAAGCAGCAACAGAGACACGGAAGAGGUCGGCGGGAGGCGAAAGGCGCACAUUUACACGUAGAGAAAAGCUCGGAGCGGGGCGGCGCGGCGCCACAGACACUUAAGUGGGAAGCCUGAGCACUCACCAGCGUAGGCGCGUGUGCUUCUGAAUAAAGUGUACGGGGACCGGCCUCGCACAGGCACACUAUAUCUACCUCUUCACAACUCGCCCCCAUCUGAGACAAAGACAAAGACAGAGAGGAUGAACUGUUGUCUCUAUGAUGCCUCUUACCCCCUUUUUACUGCCUGCCAGCGGCAGAUUAGCAACGCUGCAUGAAGGAAGUUUUAAGAUGUUGUUUCCCAAACUUUUUUUUUUUUUUUUGAAAUUAUGCAUCUCCUAAUGGCUCUGUGAUGUAACCUUUUCCACCUACUUGUAUUUUUAAGAGCUGAAAACCGGGCGCUGAUUAGACUGCCUCUGCCAGACGCUGGAAAUCACGAAUGCUUAAAAACCGGAGUAAUUAAGCCGAGGAAGCAAUUAACAUCACAUCCACUUAUCACAAAAGACACUUCUUUGUAGAUUACAUAAUAAAGUUGUGUUUUUUUUUCUUUUGAAUACUGACCUCACAAAUUAUUACAAUUUCAAUCAAGUAUAUUGGUUUGCAGUUGCAGUGUUCAAUAACGCAGACGUUUCAACAAUAUCAAGGAAUUUCUUCUGGUAGUAAACGCCGCAUUAACAUUUGAUUUAGAGAAUUUUGCUUAAAAUGUUCAAUUAACCAUUAUUGUUGUCCGUCAGCAUUGAGCAGAGAACAGGAAGGGUGAUAUGUUAUUAUGGGUCGUAUUUUAAUGGCAAACCGCUUAAGGUACAUAGUUGAGAAAGUUGGUUUCCACAAUCGGUUAGAAUUUUUUGGAAAAUGUAACAGGAUAUUUUAGCUACUAAAGGCCAAACACCAUUUUAUUUCAAAGCCAUUAAACCUAUCAAUA